GUAAUGGGCGCACCUGAUCUAGCCAUGCCGCGUGAGUGAUGAAGGCCUUAGGGUCGUAAAGCUCUUUCGCCUGUGAUGAUAAUGACAGUAGCAGGUAAAGAAACCCCGGCUAACUCCGUGCCAGCAGCCGCGGUAAUACGGAGGGGGUUAGCGUUGUUCGGAAUUACUGGGCGUAAAGCGCGCGUAGGCGGAUUAGAAAGUUGGGGGUGAAAUCCCGGGGCUCAACCUCGGAACUGCCUCCAAAACUGCUAGUCUAGAGUUCGAGAGAGGUGAGUGGAAUUCCGAGUGUAGAGGUGAAAUUCGUAGAUAUUCGGAGGAACACCAGUGGCGAAGGCGGCUCACUGGCUCGAUACUGACGCUGAGGUGCGAAAGUGUGGGGAGCAAACAGGAUUAGAUACCCUGGUAGUCCACACCGUAAACGAUGAAUGCCAGUCGUCGGGUAGUAUACUAUUCGGUGACACACCUAACGGAUUAAGCAUUCCGCCUGGGGAGUACGGUCGCAAGAUUAAAACUCAAAGGAAUUGACGG
rnacentral:rRNA from 1 species